rnacentral:rRNA from 1 species
UACGAAGGGAGCUAGCGUUGUUCGGAAUCACUGGGCGUAAAGCGCACGUAGGCGGAUGUGUCAGUCAGGGGUGAAAUCCCGGAGCUCAACUUCGGAACUGCCUUUGAUACAGCACGUCUUGAGUCCGAUAGAGGUGGGUGGAAUUCCUAGUGUAGAGGUGAAAUUCGUAGAUAUUAGGAAGAACACCGGUGGCGAAGGGCGGCCCACUGGGAUCGGUACUGACGCUGAGGUGCGAAAGCGUGGGGAGCAAACAGG